rnacentral:rRNA from 1 species
UGAGGAAUAUUGGACAAUGGGCGCAAGCCUGAUCCAGCCAUGCCGCGUGCAGGAUGACGGUCCUAUGGAUUGUAAACUGCUUUUGUACGAGAAGAAACACUCCUUCGUGAAGGAGCUUGACGGUAUCGUAAGAAUAAGGAUCGGCUAACUCCGUGCCAGCAGCCGCGGUAAUACGGAGGAUCCAAGCGUUAUCCGGAAUCAUUGGGUUUAAAGGGUCCGUAGGCGGUUUAGUAAGUCAGUGGUGAAAGCCCAUCGCUCAACGGUGGAACGGCCAUUGAUACUGCUAGACUUGAAUUAUUAGGAAGUAACUAGAAUAUGUAGUGUAGCGGUGAAAUGCUUAGAGAUUACAUGGAAUACCAAUUGCGAAGGCAGGUUACUACUAAUGGAUUGACGCUGAUGGACGAAAGCGUGGGUAGCGAACA